CUACGGGUGGCAGCAGUGGGGAAUAUUGCACAAUGGGCGCAAGCCUGAUGCAGCCAUGCCGCGUGUAUGAAGAAGGCCUUCGGGUUGUAAAGUACUUUCAGCGGGGAGGAAGGGAGUAAAGUUAAUACCUUUGCUCAUUGACGUUACCCGCAGAAGAAGCACCGGCUAACUCCGUGCCAGCAGCCGCGGUAAUACGGAGGGGUGCAAGCGUUAAUCGAAAUUACUGGGCGUAAAGCGCACGCAGGCGGUUUGUUAAGUCAGAUGUGAAAUCCCCGGGCUCAACCUGGGAACUGCAUCUGAUACUGGCAAGCUUGAGUCUCGUAGAGGGGGGUAGAAUUCCAGGUGUAGCGGUGAAAUGCGUAGAGUUCCGUUGGAAUACUGGUUCCGAAGGCGGCCCCCUGGACGAAGACUGACGCUCAGGUGCGAAAGCGUGGGGAGCAAACAGGAUUAGAUACCCCCGUAGUC
rnacentral:rRNA from 1 species